AACCAGUGCCUCCACAGAGACAAACCUGAUCAUUAACCCACUACGCCAAAGUGGAAACUCAGACUUAGGUAUUUGGAAUACAUUCUAUUGAAAAUGAAUGAAGCGAGCUUGUCUAUUCAAGGAAAACAACUGAUAAUAUUUGUGGCCAAAGAGAAAUUUGAAUUUUCAGGCUCAGAACUACAGUAACCCCAGCGUCAGCAGACCAUGAGGCAAACACUUCUUUUUCAACAGUCUGAGAAUGCCCAAGGGUCACUGAGCUUGGGUCUCUGCCAUUCACGGGAGGAGCAGAGUCAAAUGUAAAGGAGUGGGGUAUGCAGAUGGGCCAAGCUUGAGAUGCAGCUCACCCUGGGACCAGAGAGGGCUCCUGCUGCUUGGGAACAGAUCGAGGGCUGGAGCCAGAGUGAAUGCUUCUCUGAGGCCCUCAGAGUGGACAGAGAGAGGCGAGAAGGGGACCACAGGAGGAGCAAAGCUAGCAUCUUUUCAGCGAUUGCCUUUUGCUGGGAGUUGUCGUGAAGGGUCUUCAUGGAGGGUCCCACUGACCCGACAGCCUAUGAGGUGGGUACUGCUACCUUUCCUGGGUUACUGAGGGAACACUAAAGCACAGAGAGGUUAAGCAACUCUUCCAGAGUCACGCAGCAGUGCACCCAAAACCCUGGUGUGUCUGAUUUCAAAACCCUCUCUCUUGGUUGGUACCAGGAGGUGGAGCCAGGAGGGAGAGAGAUGACUUUAAUGUCCUCAUCUGGAAUGGGAGAGGACUGGGCUAGGCCACAUGCUUUCUUUCUUUCUUUUUCU